AUUGAACGCUGGCGGCAGGCCUAACACAUGCAAGUCGAACGGUAACAGGAAGCAGCUUGCUGCUUUGCUGACGAGUGGCGGACGGGUGAGUAAUGUCUGGGAAACUGCCUGAUGGGGGGGGAUAACUACUGGAAACGGUAGCUAAUACCGCAUAACGUCGCAAGACCAAAGAGGGGGACCUUCGGGCCUCUUGCCAUCGGAUGUGCCCAGAUGGGAUUAGCUGGUAGGUGGGGUAACGGCUCACCUAGGCGACGAUCCCUAGCUGGUCUGAGAGGAUGACCAGCCACACUGGAACUGAGACACGGUCCAGACUCCUACGGGAGGCAGCAGUGGGGAAUAUUGCACAAUGGGCGCAAGCCUGAUGCAGCCAUGCCGCGUGUAUGAAGAAGGCCUUCGGGUUGUAAAGUACUUUCAGCGAGGAGGAAGGUGUUGUGGUUAAUAACCACAGCAAUUGACGUUACUCGCAGAAGAAGCACCGGCUAACUCCGUGCCAGCCGCCGCGGUAACAC
rnacentral:rRNA from 1 species